rnacentral:rRNA from 1 species
GUAAGCUAAUCUCUUAAAGCCGUUCUCAGUUCGGACUGUAGGCUGCAACUCGCCUACACGAAGUCGGAAUCGCUAGUAAUCGCGGAUCAGCAUGCCGCGGUGAAUACGUUCCCGGGCCUUGUACACACCGCCCGUCACACCAUGGGAGUCGGUAACACCCGAAGUCGGUAGCCUAACCGUAAGGAGGGCGCCGCCGAAGGUGGGAUUGAUGACUGGGGUGAAGUCGUAACAAGGUACC